UCUCUUCAAACUCUGGAGUUUCUUCAAGUCUUUGGAUAUUCUCCGAGCUCCCUGGGUCCCUGCAGUUACUUAAGGCACAUCUGGCUUCCAGCUUCAGGAGAGAAAGCAUUCUCCAGGACAUUUUCCAAUUAAAUGCCAGCUCUGCCAGGUCUUUCCAAGCUGGAAAUAUUUUGAAUAUGGGCUCAGUGACCAGAUGGACUGCGUUCAUCACUCAAAACCAGCCUUUGAGAGCUCCUUGAAUUUGGUUGCCCCAAGUUUUUUGGCAACUCAGGAGACCAACUACUAAAGUAUGGACACAAGAUGCUUCUUAUAUCUGAAAUGCCUGCUUCCCACAUCUCUGCC